rnacentral:rRNA from 1 species
GCCAUCAUUCGUGGUGCUACUAUAGAGGACUGCCGGUGACAAACCGGAGGAAGGUGGGAUGACGCCAAGUCCUCAUGGCCUUUAUGUCUAGGGCUACACACGUACUACAAUGGCCGGUACAAAGGGCAGCCACUCAGCGAUGAGGCGCUAAUCCCAUAAAGCCGGUCUCAGUCCGGAUCGCAGUCUGCAACUCGACUGCGUGAAGUUGGAAUCGCUAGUAAUCGUAGAUCAGCAUGCUACGGUGAAUACGUUCCCGGGCCUU